GGGGAAUAUUGCACAAUGGGCGAAAGCCUGAUGCAGCGACGCCGCGUGAGUGAAGACGUAUUUCGGUAUGUAAAGCUCUAUCAGCAAGGAAGAAAAUGACGGUACUUGACUAAGAAGCCCCGGCUAACUACGUGCCAGCAGCCGCGGUAAUACGUAGGGGGCAAGCGUUAUCCGGAUUUACUGGGUGUAAAGGGAGCGUAGACGGUUUGGUAAGUCAGAUGUGAAAGCCCGGGGCUCAACCCCGGGACUGCAUUUGAAACUAUCAGGCUAGAGUGCAGGAGAGGUAAGUGGAAUUCCUAGUGUAGCGGUGAAAUGCGUAGAUAUUAGGAGGAACACCAGUGGCGAAGGCGGCUUACUGGACUGUAACUGACGUUGAGGCUCGAAAGCGUGGGGAGCAAAC
rnacentral:rRNA from 1 species